rnacentral:lncRNA from 1 species
AGGCCUGAGCUGAAUGCAUGACGUGGAGUAAAAGUGGGUCAGAGCGGGGGGGCACGGCGGCACGGCGGCACGGCGAGUAGCGCUGCUGUCUCACAGCCCCUGGGUGGUGGGAGAGGAUGUGGGUUCGAUCCCUGCUCGGUCUGUGUGGAGUUUGCAUGUUCUCCCCGUGUUUGUGUGGGUUUCCUCCGGGUGCUCUGGUUUCCUCCCACAGUCCAAAGACAUGCUGUUCAGGUUCCCCCAUCGUGAGUGUGUUUCGCUGAUGCAUGGAUGAGUAACCCCUUGUAAGUAGUGUAUCUAGCAGUGUAAGUCACCAUAGUAUCUGUUGUAAAUUGCUUUGGACAAAAGUAUCUGCUGAGUGAAUAAAUGUAAAGGUAGAGGGCAUUGAGGCUACAACCCAAACGCAGUACUAAUACCUGCCCCGAAAGUGAAACCCCCUCUGUUUCCGCAGAACUUUGCUCUUGCGAUCAGCGAAAACGUCAAUCUCUUUCGCUCGAGGGGGGAGCUACAGAAGCAGUCGGUUAUAUAACAGCAGAAUGUUUACGUUCUGUACAAAAGUUACGAGCCGUGACCUGAACGCUCCGUUCUGUGUGCAAGCACGCCGCCGGAAAAGACCUGCCAGACCCGAAAAACCUCCUGCGUUGGUGCGGAACACGUAGCAGGACAAGAGGAGAGUAGGAACACAGAGCAGCGACCCACCUUGCCCGGCUCCCUGAGUCUGCAGAUUUACGCAUUGCGACCGUCCGCCUUCUAUACCUUAAAUUGAGACAAGGGUACCUGAGUUGCAGCCGCUCAGCUCGUAUGUAUAGCGAAACAACACAGGUCACCUUAGACGAGGCUCUACCAAAGUCAGCGUGGAGCAAAUGCAUGUUCAAGGAGCCAACAGAGGAAAAAAAACAAAAAAAAAAAACGAUGUUGGACAGCAGAUGCAGCCCAAAUCUCUGCUUUUCCUGCAGGGACACCCCCCCCCCGAACCUCAGCUGGUACCCGGCUGUGUUAGUUCUAGCCUCGACCGCUUUCGCUGCGCAGACCCAGUGUGAACGCUUGUCUUCACCUGCGAGCCAGGAAUGCGUCAAGCCGGACCCUCGUUUUAAACCAAAGGAGCUGCAAUACUGA